AUGUAGUUUCACAUAAUAGUUAUGGCCGGCCCACGAGAUGGUUUCAGGUUAGGUGGUGAUCAUGUGGUGAUCAUGCUCAGCGAGGGGUCCGCAACGGCCAGGAAUCUGGUACAAAAUUUUUGGAAUCUCAACUGAAAUCUUGAAAUCUCACUUGGAAUCUUGAAAUCUUGUGGAAUCUCUGGAAUCUUGUGGAAUCUCUGGAAUCCCUUGGAAUCUCUGAAAUCUCUUGGAAUCUCUGGAAUCUUGUGGAAUGUUAAUGAGAUACCCGUAAAUGUAUAUAAAUAAUCCGUAUACCUCGCCGUAGAUUAUUAUUGAGGUUGCAGUAGCCUCGAGACCAGGCCGAUUAUCGAGGCUACGGUUGCAGUUGCGGUUGCAGGCUCAGCUGCUAUUUACAUAUCUCUCUCUAUGAGAAUCCUCCUCAUAGCAGCUCUGUGUGCAGAUUAUAGACGAUUCCUAAAGAGAUUAAGGUGAGUUUAACCAGCAUAAUAAUAAUAAUAAUUAAGUCAUGAAAAUUUGCAGGCUGAACAGUAAAGUGAUGACAAAGCUCUCCCAACAUCAGCUCCAAACUGCCCACUCUUAAUGCCGAGAGUGAGCUUAUGGUUGAGUGAGUCUGAUGCAGCACCAGCGUAAUAAUUUAUAGUUGAAAGUUGCAUAAUUAUAUAUAGAUCUAUGCAUCACAGGACGGACGAAGCGAGGGACAAGGCUCCAAGUCCAAACUGUCCACUCUUAAUGAGAGAUGGACGAAGCGAGGGACAAGGCUCCCCUUCUCAUCUUAAUGGUAGUGAGCUUAUGGUGCCGGAUGGACAAAGCUCUCCCAAACCAAAUGACUGUGCACUGUUUGCAGCUGCAUAUUGUACCAGCAUUGCACAUGGACUAGAUCCAUGUUCCCUCGUUUACGACCAGCAGCAAAUGAGGGACCACUUGUACACGUGUUUCACUACAAAAACAAUGGUACUGUCUUCCGAACAAAAAGACCAGGACCUGCACGCACUUUGAAAAUCCCUGUCUAUUGCUACUGUCGAUGUGCAGAUGAUGGCCAAGGAAUGGUAGGCUGUGACGGAUGUGAAGAUUGGUAGAUGCAUCAACGCCGCCAAAGUAAAAAAGGGAUUAUGAUAUUGCACCAAGUGUCGAUAAAGUAGUUAGAAUCAAUGACUUUAUAGUCAACAAGUAUAAUUAUUUUAUGUUCAUCAAUUCAUAUACUUU